UUAGGUAAGCAAUGGAGAGACGCAGGAAGGUAGCCGAACCGCGGCGAUGGUUGUUCCGCGGGUAAGGGUGUAGGGCGAGGUGUAGGCAAAUCCGCACCUCAUGUGCCUGAGACCUGACACGGACCCGUAAGGGGAAGUCGGUGAUCCUAUGCUGCCAAGAAAAUCUUCUAGCGAGGUUCUAGCCGCCCGUACCCCAAACCGACUCAGGUGGUUAGGUAGAGAAUACCAAGGCGAUCGAGUGAAUCGUGGUUAAGGAAUUCGGCAAAAUACCCCCGUAACUUCGGGAGAAGGGGGGCCCAGAGGGUGACGGGACUUGCUUCCCGAGCCUGAACGGCCGCAGAGACCAGGGAGAAGCGACUGUUUACUAAAAACACAGGUCCGUGCCAAGUCGCAAGACGAUGUAUACGGACUGACGCCUGCCCGGUGCUGGAACGUUAAGGGGACCGGUUAGCCUCACGGCGAAGCUGAGAACUUAAGCGCCAGUAAACGGCGGUGGUAACUAUAACCAUCCUAAGGUAGCGAAAUUCCUUGUCGGGUAAGUUCCGACCUGCACGAAUGGCGUAACGACUUCUCCACUGUCUCAACCACGAACUCGGCGAAAUUGCACUACGAGUAAAGAUGCUCGUUACGCGCAGAAGGACGGAAAGACCCCGGGACCUUUACUACAGCUUGGUAUUGGUGUUCGGUACGGCUUGUGUAGGAUAGGUGGGAGACUGUGAAGCUGACACGCCAGUGUCGGUGGAGUCAACGUUGAAAUACCACUCUGGUCGUUCUGGAUAUCUAACCUAGGUCCGUAAUCCGGAUCAGGGACAGUGCCUGGUGGGUAGUUUAACUGGGGCGGUUGCCUCCUAAAAGGUAACGGAGGCGCCCAAAGGUUCCCUCAGCCUGGUUGGCAAUCAGGUUUCGAGUGUAAGUGCACAAGGGAGCUUGACUGUGAGACUGACAAGUCGAACAGGGACGAAAGUCGGGACUAGUGAUCCGGCGGUGGCUUGUGGAAGCGCCGUCGCUCAACGGAUAAAAGGUACCCCGGGGAUAACAGGCUGAUCUUGCCCAAGAGUCCAUAUCGACGGCAUGGUUUGGCACCUCGGUGUCGGCUCGUCGCAUCCUGGGGCUGGAGUGGGUCCCAAGGGUUGGGCUGUUCGCCCAUUAAAGCGGUACGCGAGCUGGGUUUAGAACGUCGUGAGACAGUUCGGUCCCUAUCCUCUGCGCGCGCAGGAAACUUGAGAAGGGCUGUCCCUAGUACGAGAGGACCGGGAUGGACGAACCUCUGGUGUGUCAGUUGUUCUGCCAAGAGCACCGCUGAUUAGCUACGUUCGGGAGUGAUAACCGCUGAAAGCGUCUAAGCGGGAAGCAUGCUUCAAGAUGAGGUUUCCAUGGGGUUUACCCCGAGAGGCUCCCAGCUAGACUACUGGGUUGAUAGGCCGGAUGUGGAAGUGCGGUAACGCAUGGAGCUGACCGGUACUAAUAAGCCGAUAACUUGACU
rnacentral:rRNA from 1 species